rnacentral:rRNA from 1 species
GAAGGUGGCAAGCGUUGUCCGGAAUUAUUGGGCGUAAAGCGCGCGCAGGCGGUCCUUUAAGUCUGAUGUGAAAGCCCACGGGCUCAACCGUGGAGGGUCAUUGGAAACUGGGGGACUUGAGUACAGUAGAGGAGAGCGGAAUUCCAAGUGUAGCGGUGAAAUGCGUAGAGAUUUGGAGGAACACCAGUGGCGAAGGCGGCUUUCUGGUCUGUAACUGACGCUGAGGCGCGAAAGCGUGGGGAGCAAACAGGAUUAGAUACCCUGGUAGUCCACGCCGUAAACGAUGAGUGCUAAGUGUUAGGGGGUUUCCGCCCCUUAGUGCUGCAGCUAACGCAUUAAGCACUCCGCCUGGGGAGUACGGCCGCAAAGGCUG